rnacentral:lncRNA from 1 species
GUCUCACUCUGUCACACAGGCUGGAGUGCAGUGGCAUGAUUUUGGCUCUCUGCAACCUCCGCCUCCUGGGUUCAAGCGAUUCUCCUGCCUCAGCCUCCUAAGUAGCUGGGAUUACAGGCGCCUGCCUCCACACCCAGCUAAUUUUUCUGUAUUUUUAGUAGAGACGGGGUUUCACCAUAUUGGCCAGUCUGGUCUCGAACUCUUGACCUCGGGUGAUCCGCCCACCUUGGCCUCCCAAAGUGCUGGGAUUAUAGGCAUGCACCACCGCUCCCAGCCAGCAGAGUAAACUUUCUUGAAUGAAUUUUCUUACUAUUUAAUUUAUUUAAUUAUUUUAUUUUAUUUUAUGAUACAUGCAGUCUUACUCUGUUGCCCAGGCUGGAGUACUAUGGCACCAUCAUAACUCCCAGCGGCUUUGAACUCCUGGGCUCAAGCGAUCCUCCUGAGUAGCUGGAACCACAGCUGCAUGCCACCACCCCUGACUUUGAUUUAUUUCUGCUGGCCCAUUUCUCUGCCUCACAAUGGUAGAGAAAUGCCUGAGUCACAGAUAGGCUAGGUGACCAGGGAAGCUUGGAAGAAACCCCACAGGCCACCCAAGCUCCCAGGCUACCAUUUGGAGAUCGUUGCUUCGGAGGAAUCCCGGGUCAGGCUGCUGGAAUCUGGACUCACACUUCCGAAACCUCAGUGUUCUGAUCGAUGCUUUACAAGCUGGCUUUGCCCACCUCUCCCAUGGAACACCCUUCCUCCACUGGUCUUUUGAAAUUAUUGCUGUUGGUCUGAUUUUGCUGCCUCUGCUACCAGACGAAUACUGAUGACAAGCUGAGAGGAAGGAGGAAAAAAAUCUCGUAAAAAAAGAGGAAUUUUUAGUCACAAAAAGGAAAUUAUGCCUGCUAAGUGAGACAAGAUGUGAAUUGGCCUUAAAAAGGAGCAGACAUGAAUGUUAAGUGGCAGCUUUGUGCUGAAGGUGGGCAGGCGGCCUUGAGUGGCUGAAGAGGAAGACCGGGGGUGUGGAGGCGGUGGAUCCUUCUAGAACCUUCUAGAAAUUCUGUCCCUUUUAACUUUUUUUUGUCUCGCUCUGUCGCCCAGGCUGGAGUGCAAUGGUGCCAUCUCGGCUCACUGCAACCUCUCCCUCCUGGGUUCAAGCGAUUCUCCUGCCUCAGCCUUCUGAGUAGCUGGGAUUACAGGUGCCUGCCUACAUGGCCGACUAAUUUUUGUAUUUUUAGUAGAGAUGGGGUUUCACCAUGUUGGCCAGGCUAGUCUCGAACUCCUGACUCCAUUUUUUUGAGACUCCAUCUCAAAAAAAACAAAAAACAAAAAAAAAACCCCAAAGUCUGGGACCUUCCCCUUCUCUCUCACUUGCUCCCACUCUCGCCAUGGAACCCUCUGGCUCCCUGUUGCCUUCUGCCAUGAUUGGAAGCUUCCCAAGGCCCCCCAAGAAGCAGAUACUCCUGACAUGCUUCCUGUACAGCCUGCAGAAUCAUAAGCCCAUUAAACUGC